AACGGAGGGUGCAAGCGUUGUUCGGAAUUACUGGGCGUAAAGCGCGUGCAGGUGGUUUUUUAAGUUUCGUGUGAAAUCCCAUGGCUCAACCAUGGAACGGCACGGAAAACUGGAAGGCUUGAGUACGGGAGAAGAGGGCGGAAUUCCCAGUGUAGAGGUGAAAUUCGUAGAUAUUGGGAGGAACACCGGUGGCGAAAGCGGCUCUCUAGACCGAUACUGACGCUCAUACGCGAGAGCGUGGGUAGCAAACAGGAUUAGAUACCCUGGUAGUCCACGCUGUAAACGAUGGAUGCUAGGUGUUCGGGGAGUUGACCCCCCGAGUGCCGAAGCCAACGCAUUAAGCAUCCCGCCUGGGAAGUACGGUCGCAAGACUAAA
rnacentral:rRNA from 1 species